rnacentral:rRNA from 1 species
GGUGGUAAUGCCGGAUGCUCCAGUUGAUCGCAUGGUCUUCUGGGAAAGCUUUCGCGGUAUGGGAUGGGGUCGCGUCCUAUCAGCUUGACGGCGGGGUAACGGCCCACCGUGGCUUCGACGGGUAGCCGGCCUGAGAGGGCGACCGGCCACAUUGGGACUGAGAUACGGCCCAGACUCCUACGGGAGGCAGCAGUGGGGAAUAUUGCACAAUGGGCGCAAGCCUGAUGCAGCGACGCCGCGUGAGGGAUGGAGGCCUUCGGGUUGUAAACCUCUUUUAUCGGGGAGCAAGCGAGAGUGAGUUUACCCGUUGAAUAAGCACCGGCUAACUACGUGCCAGCAGCCGCGGUAAUACGUAGGGUGCAAGCGUUAUCCGGAAUUAUUGGGCGUAAAGGGCUCGUAGGCGGUUCGUCGCGUCCGGUGUGAAAGUCCAUCGCUUAACGGUGGAUCCGCGCCGGGUACGGGCGGGCUUGAGUGCGGUAGGGGAGACUGGAAUUCCCGGUGUAACGGUGGAAUGUGUAGAUAUCG